AAAAAGGAUAAACAUUAUGGAUUUCCAUUAUCUCAAGCAAAAACAAAGAGUUCAAAAUAUUAGUGGUAAGAACUGUCAAAAACUUGUGAUAGCUAUGAUGAAGAG